rnacentral:rRNA from 1 species
UACGGAGGAUGCGAGCGUUGUCCGGAUUUAUUGGGUUUAAAGGGUGCGUAGGCGGGCUUUUAAGUCAGCGGUAAAAAUUCGGGGCUCAACCCCGUCCGGCCGUUGAAACUGGGGGCCUUGAGUGGGCGAGAAGAAGGCGGAAUGCGUGGUGUAGCGGUGAAAUGCAUAGAUAUCACGCAGAACCCCGAUUGCGAAGGCAGCCUUCCGGCGCCCUACUGACGCUGAGGCACGAAAGUGCGGGGAUCGAACAGG